rnacentral:lncRNA from 10 species
GCACUCCUCCGCGUCCUGGGAACCCCGGGGCCUGGCACGGCUGAGACACCGCAGAGGCGCCUUCGGAAGGAAUGAUGGAAUCCGUGGGGAGCGCGGGUUCUCGCUGGCCUCUCCGGAGAUUUCCAGCUUUCUGUGAUGGUCUUUUCCUCUCGUUUGUGUCUCAGGCUCUUUAUUUUCCCCCUCUCCUGUCUCCCGGCUCCCCUACCUCCCGACUUUUCCUCCUCUGAUUUCUUCCCCCUCCUCCUUUUCCCCACCCUCAGUCUGGGAAAAGUGGAAGCGCCGCCGAGGGGGGGACCAGGACCCGACCAGGCCGUAUCUCUAAGGGGGCGGGGGUGCGGAGCUGGGCAGAGGUACAGAAGGAGAUUUUCGUUCCAUAUGGAAGGAGACAACGACGGGAUUUUGUUGGAACAAGGUUCCCACAGGGAUGCGGGUUCAGUUGGGUAAACGUUGCCUGGGCCUGUGCUCUGCGGUGACAGAGCAAGUGCUGGGGGCUGAGACAAGACAGGAGCCCAGCAAGCUGAACCCGGCCCGAGGGCCUUGCGCUCCUAGCCUGGUAAUGAAUCCCACCCGUUCUGUCGCAGACCCCCACCGAGAGGCUGGCCAGGGGCCACGAACUUGUUUAACUGGGCAGGUAGAGAAGCUUGGAAUCUACCGACCGUCCUAGACUUGCAUCUACACUGGCCACCUCCUUUCAUUCGUGUGGCUCUGGGUAUACUUGUUCAUAUCUAAAUCAAUAGACCUUUUAUUACACCACCUUCCCUUGUGAGGCAUUCAAAUGCUGACAUUUCUACUCGGGAGGCUGAGACAGGAAGAUCUCUCGAGCCCAGGAGGUCGAGGCUGCAGUGAGCCGUGAUCAUACCGCUGCACUCCAGCCUGGGCGAUACAGGGAGAUCCCAUCUCUAAAACAAACAACAAAAAACGUUGACAUCCAGCUGUCUGUCAUUAACUCCACUUUACAGAUGAAGAAACAGCGGAGGAUCAGUAACUUGAGUCUGGUCACCGUCUUGGUUGGGCUGGGACAGCCCCGGGGUCCCAGCCUGGCCUAGCUUCCACUCCCAUUCCAUCCCUGUGAGGAUGCAGUCGCAGACUUCCCGGGGGAGGGGGAGGGGGUGCUGGAAUGCGCUGGGUGAUAGGAGUUCCGUUUUCGUCCUCCCUCACCUUUUCCUCUCCCAGCGCCCCUUUCUGUCAGCUUCCUCUCCAGUAAUUCCCUAAUUUUCUUCCUUUUCUUCCAUAGCUCUGCUUAUCUUUAUCCCUUGGCCAGUUUCCUCUAUUUUCACUCCUCUUAGGACCUAUUCUCUUGUCGUUUCCUCUGCAGCAAGUUAAGAGAAGAAUUUGUCACCCUCAGGGGGUCUCUAAGCCUGCCUCUGUGUACUGGAUUCAGUAUCAGUGCCCCCACCCCCACCCCAAUCUUCUCCUGUGCCAUCUCCCCUGCCCUGUUCCUCCCAGACUCUCAUACUGCUCCCUCUACCACCAUCCCCCACAACUGAUCGUAUACACAAAUACUUCCCCUCUUCACCACUGGACAGCUGCCCAUCUUAACCAAAACCCGUUCCCCCCACCACCUUCUGCUCCCUGCCCUUCGUUUCCUCCCACCCAAGCUGCUGAGCUCUGCCAGAGACUGGAGGCUCUUCACGCUGGAGUCCACUACAUCCCACCCAUCUUCAGGCUGCUUACCUUUCACUUUGCCCCUGUCCAGCCUCCCACCAGUUUCCUGGAGGUCCCAUCUCCUGCAACCCGGAGCCUCACUUUUUGGAGAAUAGCCCGAUGCCUCCCAGGCUGAUACAGCCUAGCCUACCUGUUCUGGCUCUGGCCCCACAUUAACGUUUUCCCUCCCUCUCUCUAUUUCUGGAAUAACCUGGCCCCAAAUCCAGACUCUCCUAUUUAUUAGUGGUGAGCCCUGGGCCAAUUAUUUUGCCUCAGCUUGCGUAUCUGUGAAAUUGCAAGCGUUAUACGGGACCUCUGUGAGGAGUAAAUGAGAUAACAUAUGUGGUGCACUGGAUCAAUGUCAGACUCCAAAGAGCACUCAGUACAAGUUAUUGUCUCUGCCUUUGUCCAUGCGGAGAACUUGGGAAUCACCUCAAAGCAUCACUCUCUCAUCCUCCACAUCCAAUCAGUGGCUCAGUCAUCCAGUGAUGUAAUCCUCAAGUCUAUAUCCUCUUCCUUUUGCUUCUUUGCUGGCUAACUUCGUUCUUAAAACUCAGUUCAUCUCCCUGGGAAGCCCUCCACCCCAUUCUUUCAUAGCAUUCACCUGCGAUGGGGGUUGUGUGUGUCUCCAUCUGUCUCCCUCACAAGGCCAUGACUCCCUGCUCCCUCUAGCUGGGAAGCUGCUAUGUACAUCUCGCCACCAGCACAAGCCAGGCAAUGUUUCUCCAACAGAGAUCUUGUGAGAAUUUGGACCAGCCACACCCCCAGCCAUCUCUCUUUCACCUUUCACCUCCUUCUUUCCUAUUCAGCCUGACUUCAUCUUUAUGUCUCCUUGCCUUACAAAGAGUUUUCUGUCCUCAUGUUUCUCUCAGUCUUUUGACUUGUCUUUUUCACCACAAAAUUUCUUGAAUGAUUUUUAGUCUCUCUCCAAUUCUCUCACUUGCCCUCUAUCCAAGCCUUUGCAACCAGACUUGGAUGCCCAUCAUAUUAGGAAAAUGGCUUUUGCAAAAGCUCCAAACAUUUCAUUAUGGUAUGAGGACAAGGGCAAGCAACACGUGCUUGUGGAGAGCACAAUAAGUUCAACCUCAUGGAGUUAUUGAGACCUAAUGAGUUAUAAUCUCCACCUGAUGAACUUGGAGCAGUGCCUGGAACAUAGUAGGCUUUUGAUAAAUAUUAACUGCUAUUAUUUCAUAGAGCCGUGCUAGGAGCCAAAUGCGGUAAUGUGGUGCUUGAGAAGUGGAUGGCCCAAACAGAGAUGUUCUGUAAAUGUGAAUAUCCACUGCAUUUAGUGUUAAACAGG